GAUGUUUCUAAGGUCGACAACAGAUCAAUGACGUACGAGGUUAACAAGAAAGUUUAUGGUUACAAAUUGUCUCUUAAAUUAUGAAUGGAUUUAUUAUUAAACUAUGUCUGCACCUUCUGUAAGGUGAGGCCCAGUGUUGAAAACAUUCGGGUCUUGUUUGGUUGAAGUGAGUUUUCAGUUUUUGGUAAGUUUGAGAUGAAUGUUACCUGUGCGUGUAUCUUACAAAGCCUACAGCAUGAAGUGUUGAUGCCACAACGCUGACAGGUCAGGGUGAGUGUGAGACACAUGUAGUUCACGGCCAGUUACUGUUCCACUUGUUGACCUAGUGUUACUCAGUGAUUGCUGGAUGUGUUACGAGUCGGGGUCUUCAUGUAGAAGGUUGGAUGACAUAUAAGUAACAAUGCUGUAUUUGCUACUGCAAGUACCUGCAACACCUCUAGUUGUUUUUGCUUUCAUUGACAUUUGUUUCAUGAAGUGUAAUUCACAUAUAUGUAGAUAGAUAUGUCAGUAUUUUGGUGAAUCAAUAAAGAGUCAAUC